GAAGUUCGCUAGGCCGUCGCUGGUGCAAUCUGGGAAACCAGGCACUGGAGGAACGUCCGGACUGCGUAGGACAGCGUAAGAGGUAACACCUCUCCACCGUGAGGUGAGGAUCAGAGCAACAGAGACGAGCCGAUUGAGUUCGGGUGAAACGGGCAAUCUCUACGCGCAGCAAUACCAAGUAGGCCAACGCUGAGGCGGUCCGCUGAGUUGGCGGGUAGGUAGCACCGAGCCGAGUGGGCAACCCUCGGCCCAGAUUAAUGACGGUCACGCGUGAGGUAACUCGCGUGCACAGAAUCCGGCGUAUCGGCGAGCUUCACAC
rnacentral:RNase_P_RNA from 1 species